rnacentral:rRNA from 1 species
AUGGCAAACCGAGCGGAAUCAUCAUCGGCGGGAUGGACUGGGAAGAACUUGGAGGAUGAUGAGCUCGAUUAUGUGACAGUGGGGGAAGAGGAGGUGAAAAAGUUUGCAGCAGAUGCUAGAUGGCUUGCGAUUGCAAAGGUGAAUACGACCCGCACUUUCAGUUCUUCAGCGAUGUUUGAGUGCAUGAAGUCCAUCUGGUCGCUCGCUCAAGUUCCACAGUAUAGAGAGGCAGGAGAAAAUCUAUUUAUUUUCCAGAUGUUCUGUCUUGGUGAUUGGAAGAAGGUUGUGCAUGGCGGUCCAUGGCUCUUUAGGGGGAUGGGGAUGUUGAUCAAAGACUAUGAUGGCAAAAAGGAACCAACCUCCUGUGAAUUUGAUGGGCUAUACGUCUGGGCACAGAUCCAUAACAUCCCGGAGCUUUACUGGAAAGUGGAGGUUGUAGAUCAGCUAGCCCGCCACAUCGGUCGGGUCAAAGAAACCCAGCUUGCUCCUAGGCUGUUCUAUGAAGGGGAU